GCCAGACUCCUACGGGAGGCAGCAGUGGGGAAUAUUGGGCAAUGGGCGCAAGCCUGACCCAGCAACGCCGCGUGAAGGAAGAAGGCUCUCGGGUUGUAAACUUCUUUUAUCAGGGACGAAGCAAGUGACGGUACCUGAUGAAUAAGCCACGGCUAACUACGUGCCAGCAGCCGCGGUAAUACGUAGGUGGCAAGCGUUGUCCGGAUUUACUGGGUGUAAAGGGCGUGUAGCCGGGAAGGCAAGUCAGAUGUGAAAUCUGGAGGCUCAACCUCCAAAUUGCAUUUGAAACUGUUUUUCUUGAGUACUGGAGAGGCAGACGGAAUUCCUUGUGUAGCGGUGAAAUGCGUAGAUAUACGGAGGAACACCAGUGGCGAAGGCGGAUUGCUGGACAGUAACUGACGCUGAGGCGCGAAAGCGUGGGGAGCAAACAGGAUUAGAUACCCCAGUAUG
rnacentral:rRNA from 1 species